CCUACGGGAGGCAGCAGUGAGGAAUAUUGGUCAAUGGACGAGAGUCUCAACCAGCCAAGUAGCGUGAAGGAUGACUGCCCUAUGGGUUGUAAACUUCUUUUAUAAAGGAAUAAAACGAGGCACGUGUGCCUCUUUGCAUGUACUUUAUGAAUAAGGAUCGGCUAACUCCGUGCCAGCAGCCGCGGUAAUACGGAGGAUCCGAGCGUUAUCCGGAUUUAUUGGGUUUAAAGGGAGCGUAGAUGGGUUGUUAAGUCAGUUGUGAAAGUUUGCGGCUCAACCGUAAAAUUGCAAUUGAUACUGGCAGUCUUGAGUACAGUUGAGGUAGGCGGAAUUCGUGGUGUAGCGGUGAAAUGCUUAGAUAUCACGAAGAACCCCGAUUGCGAAGGCAGCUUACUAAACUGUGACUGACAUUGAUGCUCGAAAGUGUGGGUAUCAAACAGGAUUAGAUACCCCUGUAGUC
rnacentral:rRNA from 1 species